rnacentral:lncRNA from 1 species
GUGAACUUUAAUCAAAAGAAAGCACGAGUGGCAACACUAAUACCAGAUGAAAUGGACUUCAGAACAAGGAAUAUAACUAGACAUGAAGAGAUAUGUUACAUAAUAAUAAAGAGGUCAGUUCAUCAAGAAGCCAUACAAUCAUAAACGUGUAUACACCAACAGAAAACUUCGAAAUAAAUAAAGCAAAAAUGGCCAAAAAAAAGUGGGGGGUGCGGGGGAGGAACAAAUCUACAAUUUAGUUGAAUAAUUCAAAACUCCUCUUUUGGUAACUGACAGAACAAGCAAACCUUACCAUCACUACCAACCAACUUAACUUGGCUGACAUUUACAGAACAUUCCACCCAAUGACAGCAGACUACACAUUCUACUCAAGUGAACAUGGAACAUCCACUAAAAGACACCAUUCUGGGACAUAAAACAAGCCUUGGUAAAUAAAAAAAAAAAUGAAAUAAUGAAAUUAAAUUAGAAAUCAACAACAGAAAAAGACUUGGGAAAUCCUCAAAUACAUGGAGCCUAAUACACUUCUAAAUAACCCAUGUAACAAGGAAGAAAUCACAAAGGAAAUUAGAAAAUAUUUUAAACUGGGCCGGGCUCGGUGGCUCACGCCUGUAAUCCUGGCACUUUGGGAGGUCUAGGUGGGUGGAUCACCUGAGGUCAGGAGUUGGAGACCAGCCUGGCCAACAUGUGAAACCCUGUCUCUACUAAAAAUACAAAAUUAGCUGGGCAUGGUGGCAUGUGCCUGUAAUCCCAGCUACUCGGGAGGCUGAGGUAGGAGAAUCGCUUGAACUUGGGAGGCGGAGGUUGCAGUGAGCCAGGAUUAUGCCACUGCACUCCAGCCUGAGCAACAGAGUGAGACUCCGUCUCAAAAAAAAAAAAAAAAAGAAUUUUAAACUAAAUGCAAACAAAACCCCAAUAUAUCCAAAUUUAUGAGAUGUAAAAAAGCAACACUCAAAAGUUUUUAGCUUUGGAUUAAGAAAAAGGGAGGCUCAAAUCAAUAACUUAAGUUUCUACCUGAAGAAUCUGAGGAGCAGGGGAAGCCAAGCACAGUGGCUCACACCUGUAAUCCCAGUACUUUGGGAGGCUGGGGUGGGAGGGUCAUUUAAGCCCAGGAGUUCAAGGCUUGUACCAGUGUACUCCAGAGAGACCAUGUCACAAACAAAACAUAUGGAAAGCUCGAACCAUGAAAGUUUAAUAAAUCUAAAUGAGGACUGGGUGCAGUGGCUCAUGCCUGUAAUCCCAGCACUUUGGGAGGCUGAGGCAGGUGGAUCACCUGAGGUCAGAAGUUCCAGACCAGCCUGGCCAACAUGGUGAAACCUCGUCUCUACUAAAAAAUACAAAAAAUUAGCCCGGCAUGGGGGCGGGUGCCUGUAAUCCCAGCUACUUGAGAGGCUGAGGCAGGAGAACAGCUUGAACCUGGGAGGUGGAGGUUCCGGUGAGCCGAGAUGGUGCCACUGUACUCCAGCCUGGGCGACAGAGUGAGACUCUGUCUCAAAAAAAAAAAAAAAAAAAUGGCUGGGUGUGGUGGCUCACAUCUGUAAUUCUAGCACUUUGGGAGGCUGAAGCGGGCAGAUCACUUGAGGUCAGGAGUUCGAGACCAAAAACCCAAAGUGUGGCACCAAUUAUUUAUGAUGCGCACGACCAAAAAGACUGUAGUAUCCAGAAUAUUUAAAGUACGCCUACAAAUCAAGACAUGUACAACAGAAUAAUGAACAAAGGAUAUAAAUAUACAACUCACAGAAGGCCAGUAACAUAUGAAAAGAUGGUUAUUCAUGCUUAUUAUUUUUUAUUUAUUUUAUUUUUUUUUGAGAUGGAGUGGCACUCUGUUGCCCAGGCUGGGGUGCAAUGGCAUGAUCUCGGCUCUUGCAACCUCCGCCUCCUGGGUUCAAGCGAUUCUCCUGUCUCAGACUCCUGAGUAGCUGGAAUUACAGGCACGCGCCACCAGGCCCAGCUAAUUUUUGUAUUUUUAGUAAAGACAGGAUUUCACCAUGUUGGUCGGGCUAGUCUUGAACUCCUGACCUCAAGUGAUCCGCCCACCUCGGCCUCCCAAAGUGCUGGGAUUACAGGAGUGAGCCACUGCGCCCAGCUCCACUGGUUAUUAAGAAAAUAUAAAUUGAAACCACAGAUGAGAUUCUGUUUUACACCCCACCAAACUGGUACAAUUACAAAAUCUGACAAUUCAGCAAAGAUAUGGAACACAGGAACUCUUUUACUACUGGCAGUUUAAAUUGGCACCACGUUUGAAGAGCAGUUUUGUAUUGUCUAAAAUAGACCUACAUAGUUACGGCUUAACAAUUCUGCUUCUUGGUAUAAACACUGGAGAAACUUGCACAUGAGCAUAAGCAGACAUGUAUAAGAAUUUCUUUUCUUUUCAGAAUUCUGUUUCUGAGACAGAGUCUUGCUCUGUCACUGAGGCUGGAGUGCAGUGGUGCCAUCAGCUCACUGCAGCCUUCAACUCCUGUGCUUAAGUGAUCCUCUGGCCUCUGCCUCCCUAGUAGUUCAGGAAGGAAUAAAUUUAUUUAUUUAUAAAAUAAAAAUGCCAAGAAUUUAUGAUCCAGUAUCCACUUUUUUUUUUUCUUUUUUUGAGGCAGAGUCUCACUCUGUCACCCAGGCUGGAGUGCAGUGGCACGAUCUCAUCUCACUGCAACAUCCGCCUCCUGAGUUCAAGCGAUUCUUGUGCCUCAGCCUCCCAACUAGCUGAGAUUACAAGUGCCUGCCACCACGCUCGGCUAAUUUUUUGUAUUUUUAGUAGAGAUAGGGUUCUGCCAUGUUGGCCAGGCUGGUCUUGAACUCCUGGCCUCAAUUGAUCUGCCCACCUCAGCCUCCCUAAGUGCUGGGAUUACAGGCGUGAGCCACCACACCUGGCCCAGUAUCCACUUCUUGGUAUAUACUUUUGAAAACCUCAUGCAGAUUUGCGGAGAGACAAAUAAUUGGAACAUCACUUCUAAUAACAAUGAUAACAAAAAAAAUCAGAAGUAACCUAAAUGUUCAAUAACAGAAAACCAGCCAAAAAGACGUUCUAUGGAAGAACACACAGUUGAUUAAAAGAACACGAUAGAACAAUACUUCAAAGUUCUCCGGGCCGGGUGCAGUGGCUCACGCCUGUAAUCCCAGCACUUUGGGAGGCCGAGGCGGGCGGAUCACGAGGUCAGGAGAUUGAGACCAUCCUGGCUAACACGGUGAAACCCCGUCUCUACUAAAAAUACAAAAAAUUAGCCGGGCAUGGUGGUGGGUGCCUGUAGUCCCAGCUACUCGGGAAGCUGAGGCAGGAGAAUGGCGUGAACCCAGGAGGCAGAACUUGCAGUGAGCCGAGAUCGUGCCACUGCACUCCAGCCUGGGCGACAGAGCGAGACUCCAUCUCAAAAAAAUUAAAAAAAUAAAAAUUAAAAAAAAGUUCUCCAAAACACAACCUGGAAUUUUAAGUUGCAAAAUGUAGACCUUAUGAAAAACAUGUUCACAUUUCCAUACUGUGCCAUGCCCAAAAAAGGUGUUACCUUUAACUGGAGACAUUUAAGUUAAUGACCUUGGAAAAAGAUAAAAAUCGUUUUUAUUGGCCUGGCACGGUGGCUCACGCCUAUAAUCCCAGCACUUUAGGAGGCCUACAACAGGCAGAUCACCUGAGGUCUGGAGUUCGAGACCAGCCUGGCCAACAUGGUGAACCCCCAUCUCUCCUAAGAAUAUAAAAAUUAGGGCGGGGUGGCCGGGUGGCUCACACCUGUAAUCCCAGCACUUUGGGAGG